GCCCUCCUAGCUCAGUUGGUAGAGCACUUCCAUGGUAAGGAAGGGGUCAUCGGUUCGAGUCCGAUGGAGGGCU
rnacentral:tRNA from 5 species